GUGAGAUGCUCCUGAGGUCUCCACGAGCUCUCCUCUCUCAACAUGCUGGCCUCCCUGCUGUUCCUCGUGGUUCUAGAAGGGCUCCGCGGUGAGGAGCUCCGCCCGGUCCGGACGGAGCAGGCGGCUCCGGAGGGCGGCGCAGUGACUCUGGGCUACACUCGCCACGGACAGGCGGCGUAUUAUUUCUUCUGGUAUCGACAGCGCCCAGGAGAACCGCCAGAGCUCCUGAUCUCGCACUCUGCUUCAGGGACAUUGGGUCCGUCUCCGGUCCCUGGACUGAAGGUUGUAGUGGAUCAGAACCGGGUCCUGCUGCGCAUCUCCUCCGCUGCCGUGUCAGACUCUGCUGUGUACUUCUGUGCCGUGAGGCCCACAGCCUCAGGAACCACUGCGUCUGUGGACAAGAACCGGGAGGACCGGCAGUACUCACUGCAGCCACCAGAGGGAGCCUCCCCCUGA